GCGAGCGAAGGGGGGGGUUCUUCGGCAAUAUGAUAAUUGUCAUGUGUCUAUUGCCUGGGGGGCCCUCUCUGCGUUGAGUGGGU
rnacentral:rRNA from 1 species